rnacentral:misc_RNA from 1 species
GACGCCCCUCGAGCCCGCCUUCGCGCGGGCUCGGUGUUGAGGCACUAGGAGACGCCAACGCCUCCUAGGCCUCCAAAACGAUUGCGCGGCCCCCGCUACAGGACCCGAGCACAGUAGACCUCUCAUGUUGAGCUGCUCUGGGCCCGGCGCGGCGGUGCCAGCCGUAAAACCCCCGACACAGGCUCCCGUCUUCAACCGGGAAGCCGCCUGA